GGAUACAAAAAGUGCUCAGUUUAAAAGUUCCCAGUUUCUGGGGCUUCCAUUGAUGUGAUAUAUUUGAUAGUUCGUUUAAACACAUUUUUCAGGUAGAGAUGGACUUAGUACAUUGCACCCAGAUAUCCUGCAUCCCUGGUAGAUGUCUUAGAACCGUUAUGAUGGGCAGGAUUAAUUUCUCACCCAGGCUUGCAGCUUACAG